rnacentral:rRNA from 1 species
CAGCAGCCGCGGUAAUACGUAGGGUGCAAGCGUUAAUCGGAAUUACUGGGCGUAAAGCGUGCGCAGCGGUUAUAUAAGACAGAUGUGAAAUCCCCGGGCUCAACCUGGGAACUGCAUUUGUGACUGUAUAGCUAGAGUACGGCAGAGGGGGAUGGAAUUCCGCGUGUAGCAGUGAAAUGCGUAGAUAUGCGGAGGAACACCGAUGGCGAAGGCAAUCCCCUGGGCCUGUACUGACGCUCAUGCACGAAAGCGUGGGGAGCAAACAGGAUUAGAUACCCGUGUAGUCCCUGUCUCUUAUACA